GUACUUUUGAAGAGUCCCAAGCAAUAGGACGAAACCGCUGUCAAGUAC
rnacentral:hammerhead_ribozyme from 1 species